GAUGAACGCUGGCGGCGUGCCUAAUACAUGCAAGUCGAGCGAACGGACGAGAAGCUUGCUUCUCUGAUGUUAGCGGCGGACGGGUGAGUAACACGUGGAUAACCUACCUAUAAGACUGGGAUAACUUCGGGAAACCGGAGCUAAUACCGGAUAAUAUUUUGAACCGCAUGGUUCAAAAGUGAAAGACGGUCUUGCUGUCACUUAUAGAUGGAUACGCGCUGCAUUAGCUAGUUGGUAAGGUAACGGCUUACCAAGGCAACGAUGCAUAGCCGACCUGAGAGGGUGAUCGGCCAAAAGGGAACUGAGACACGGUCCAGAAUCCUACGGGAGGCAGCAGUAGGGAAUCUUCCGCAAUGGGCGAAAGCCUGACGGAGCAACGCCGCGUGAGUGAUGAAGGUCUUCGGAUCGUAAAACUCUGUUAUUAGGGAAGAACAUAUGUGUAAGUAACUGUGCACAUCUUGACGGUACCUAAUCAGAAAGCCACGGCUAACUACGUG
rnacentral:rRNA from 1 species